rnacentral:lncRNA from 1 species
GGUGUGCUCAUUUACAUAGUCGGGAAGGACACAGGCCUGUGGCUUUUUCAACCUGCCAGCUCGACCCGGACCUGGUCCUCUCCAUCCGGGACCCUUUCACCGCAGUCUUCACAGGAUGGGACCUCAGCGACUCCACCGACUCCACCAUGAAGUCCCACCUGUUUCCUGAUCCGAAGCUUCUCGGCUGUGCGCGUUGCUUUACACCUCGGCACUUGAAUAUUCAUGCUCACCUUUAAAGUAAGGGACUAUGGAUCUGUUCUACCAGGAAUCAGAAUGAAAAGACGGAACUGAGGUCCUUGAGCACCCACAGCCUGCGAGCGACAGACCAGAG